rnacentral:rRNA from 1 species
CCUACGUGGGACAGCAGUGAGGAAUAUUGGUCAAUGGGCGCGAGCCUGAACCAGCCAAGUAGCGUGAAGGAUGACUGCCCUACGGGUUGUAAACUUCUUUUAUAAAGGAAUAAAGUGAGGCACGUGUGCCUUUUUGUAUGUACUUUAUGAAUAAGGAUCGGCUAACUCCGUGCCAGCAGCCGCGGUAAUACGGAGGAUCCGAGCGUUAUCCGGAUUUAUUGGGUUUAAAGGGAGCGUAGAUGGGUUGUUAAGUCAGUUGUGAAAGUUUGCGGCUCAACCGUAAAAUUGCAAUUGAUACUGGCAGUCUUGAGUACAGUUGAGGUAGGCGGAAUUCGUGGUGUAGCGGUGAAAUGCUUAGAUAUCACGAAGAACUCCGAUUGCGAAGGCCGCUUACUAAACUGCCACUGACAUUGAUGCUCGAAAGUGUGGGUAUCAAACAGGAUUAGAUACCCCUGUAGUC